CUGCUGUGUGGAAACCAAAGCCUCUUUGGACAGGGAAGCAGGUCAUCACUGCAUUACUAAAUCAUCUGACAAAUGGUUGUCCACCUUGUACCGUCAAAAACAAAGGGAAAAUUCCAUAUGCAUAUUUCCUGAGCGAGAGUCGCCUAGUUGAGUAUCAGUCAAGAGAAGAACAAGAAGAUAGAACCGCUGAAAAUGAGUUCUUAAUUUGGAAAAAUGAGCUCGUGCGUGGUGUAAUCGACAAGGCCCAGUUUGGAAAGUUUGGUUUAGUUCAUACAAUUCAGGAGCUUUAUGGAUCCAACAAAGCAGGCAUUUUACUUUCUGCUCUGAGUCGUUUAUUUACUAUUUUCUUGCAGCUGCAUGGUUUCACUUGUGGUAUUGAUGAUCUUGUCAUCUUACCACAUUACGAUAUUCGGAGGAAGGAGGAACUUGAAG
rnacentral:misc_RNA from 1 species